AGUGAACGCUGGCGGUAGGCCUAACACAUGCAAGUCGAACGGCAGCACAGUAAGAGCUUGCUCUUACGGGUGGCGAGUGGCGGACGGGUGAGGAAUACAUCGGAAUCUACUUUUUCGUGGGGGAUAACGUAGGGAAACUUACGCUAAUACCGCAUACGACCUACGGGUGAAAGCAGGGGAUCUUCGGACCUUGCGCGACUGAAUGAGCCGAUGUCGGAUUAGCUAGUUGGCGGGGUAAAGGCCCACCAAGGCGACGAUCCGUAGCUGGUCUGAGAGGAUGAUCAGCCACACUGGAACUGAGACACGGUCCAGACUCCUACGGGAGGCAGCAGUGGGGAAUAUUGGACAAUGGGCGCAAGCCUGAUCCAGCCAUACCGCGUGGGUGAAGAAGGCCUUCGGGUUGUAAAGCCCUUUUGUUGGGAAAGAAAAGCAGCAAGUUAAUACCCCGCUGUUCUGACGGUACCCAAAGAAUAAGCACCGGCUAACUUCGUG
rnacentral:rRNA from 1 species